rnacentral:lncRNA from 1 species
CUUUUAAGAAGUGAACAACCAAGUUAUUUGCCUGGAAAAGUCUCCUGAAAUACUGAAGUUAUGCUAAAGAAGGAGAAGAGAAAGGAAGCUGCAGUCCCUGUAUAACUCCUAAAUUUUUAAUUUGGAGUUCCUCUUCUUCGGUGCAACAAUCUUUCUGCAUGCACAGAUCCAUGUGGCACUCAUCUCAUCAUUCUGAGGGAAGAAAGAUGCAUAGGGAAUGUUGCAUGUGGUUAUUUCUAUUUCUCUCAAGUGCACAUUAUCCAUCAAGAAGAUUUAAAUCAUUUUGAAAUAUUAAUAUAAUGAUCAAAAAUUAACUUUUAUACAUGUUAUUAGGCAGAACCCACAGAAAACAAUAAAGCACGAGAGAAAAGAGGAUGGCAGUUUACCCAGGAAACAUAGGUUGUGCAAAGCUUUGCAAUGAUACUCUCAAUUCAGAGCAAUGAAGAACAGAAUGCU